CCUGGUUGAUCCUGCCAGUAGCAUAUGCUUGUCACAAAGAUUAAGCCAGGCACGUGUAAGUACACAUGGCCGGUACAGUGAAACUGUGACUGGCUCAUUAAAUCAGUUAUGGUUCCUUUGAUCGCUCCAUUUGUUACUUGGAUAACUGUGGUAAUUCUAGAGCUAAUACAUGCUGACGGGCGCAGACCUCCCAGGAUGCGUGCAUUUAUCAGACCAAGACCAAUCCGGGGCCGAUUGCACGUCCCUGUGACGGCGACAAUGUAUUCGGAUGUCUGCCCUUUCAACUAUCGAUGGUACUUUCUGUGCCUACCAUGGUGACCAUGGGUAAUGGGGAAUUGGGGUUCGAUUCCGGAGAGGGAGCUUGAGAAACGGCUACCACAUCCAAGGAAGGCAGCAGGUGUGCAAAUGACCCGCCCCCGACUCUGGGAGGUAGUGACAAAAAAUAACAAUACAGGACUCUUUCGAGGCACUGUAAUUGGAAUGAAUACACUUUAAAUCCUUUAACGAGUACCCAUUGGAGGGCAAGUCUGGUGCCAGCAGCCGCUGCAAUUCCAGCUCCAAUAGCGUAUAUUAAAGUUGCUGAAGUUUAAAAAGCUCGUAGUUGGAUCUUGGGAUCGGACUGCCGUGAGGCAAGCUACCGCCUGCCCCUGCCUCUCAAGCCCCCUUUGAUGCUCUUGACUUGGUGUCCAGGGAUCCAAAGCGUUUACUUUGAAAAAAUUAGUGUUCAGAGCAGGCCGGUUUGCCUGAAUACUUCAGCUAGGAAUAACGGAAUAGGACUCUGGUUCUAUUUUGUUGGUUUCCAGAACUGGGGCCAUGAUUAAGAGGGACGGCCGGGGGCAUUCGUAUUGUGCCGCUACAGUUGAAAUUCUUGGACCGGCGCAAGACAAACCAAAGCAAAAGCAUUACCCAAGAAUGUUUACAUUAAUCAAGAACGAAAGUCUGAGGUUCGAAGAAGAUCCGAUACCGUCGUAGUUCUGACCAUAAAAGAUGCCGACUAGCAAUCUGGCUGCGUUAUCCCUUUGCCCGCCAAGCAGCUUCCGGGAAACUAAAGUCUUUUGGUUCCGGGGGAAGUAUGGUUGCAAAGCUGAAAUUCAAAGGAAUUGACGGAAAGGGAGUUUGACUCAACACCGGAAACCUCACCCGGCCCGGGCACAGAAAAGAUUGACAGAUUGAUAGUUCUUUCUCGAUUCUGUGGGUGGUAGUGCAUGGCCGUUCUUAGUUGGUGGAGCGAUUUGUCUGGUUAAUUCCGAAAACUAACAAGACUCCUCCAUGCUAACUAGUUACGUGACCCCCCCAGCAGUCGGUGUUCAACUUCUUAGAGGAACAAGUGGCGUUCAACCACACGAGAUCGAGCAAUCACAGGUCUGUGAUGCCCUAAGAUGUCAGGGGCUGCACGCACGCUACACUGAACGGAUCAGCCGAUAGUUGCGGCUAACCCACUGAUCCCCGUUCGUGAUAGGGAUAGGGGAUUGCAAUUAUUUCCCAUGAACGAGGAAUUCCCGGUAUAUGCAGGUCAAAAACUUGUGUUGAUUAAGUCCCUGCCCUUUGUACACACCACCCGUCGCUACUACCAAAUGGAUGGUUUAGUGAGGUCCUCCGAUCGGCCCCGCUGGGGUAGGCAACAGCCCUGGUGGAGCGGCGAGAAGACAAUCAAACUUGACUAUAUAGACGAAGUAAGUCGUACGGGUUGGGUUAACC
rnacentral:rRNA from 1 species